rnacentral:rRNA from 1 species
AUUGAACGCUGGCGGCAUGCUUUACACAUGCAAGUCGAACGGUAACAGGGUGCUUGCACCGCUGACGAGUGGCGAACGGGUGAGUAAUGCGUCGGAACGUGCCGAGUAGUGGGGGAUAACGCAGCGAAAGUUGUGCUAAUACCGCAUACGUACUGAGGUAGAAAGUGGGGGACCUUCGGGCCUCACGCUAUUCGAGCGGCCGACGUCUGAUUAGCUAGUAGGUGAGGUAAAGGCUCACCUAGGCGACGAUCAGUAGCGGGUCUGAGAGGAUGAGCCGCCACGCUGGGACGGAGACACGGCCCAGACUCCUACGGGAGGCAGCAGUGGGGAAUUUUGGACAAUGGGCGAAAGCCUGAUCCAGCCAUGCCGCGUGUCUGAAGGAGGCCUUCGGGUUGUAAAGGACUUUUGUCAGGGAGGAAAUCCCUAGCGUUAAUACCGCUGGGGGAUGACAGUACCUGAAGAAUAAGCACCGGCUAACUACGUGCCAGCAGCCGCCGUAAAAC